AAAAUUGAUUGCAGAAAGUUCAAGAUUAGACACCUUUGAAAGAGUGCCAAGAAGACUAGACAAAUCGUAGCAACGUGCAUCUGUCCUACUAAGGCUAACUUUCUCAAUCAACGGAGUAUGCAUAAAACUCAAACGAGAACAUGGAGCAUCAUAUAUCAAGACACGAAGAUUAGGAGCAUUUAAAUUUAAAACUAAAGAGUCAUAAACACGAAGAUCCAAAUACUUGAGGAGUGGAGACAAAUCGAUCAAUCUUUGGAUUGUUGUUGCGCUAGCAAAUGUGAUGUAAUUAAGAACAAUAGAGGUUAAACUUUUAAACCCAUCAAAUGAUGAUGGAAGUUUAAUCAUGCAGCAGAACUUGAUAUCUAACGUCGUCAAUUUAUCAAAAGAAAAUACCAAGGAUGGAAUCAAAUAAUCAUCACCAUUAUCAUAAAAAUGAGUAAAGUCCAAUGUAAGAUGCUGAACUCGAUGACCAUCCAAAUGAUCCAAUAAUAUAUUGAGAUCUGAGAAAUUGAGAUCUGAGAAACUGAGACCAUCUAAAUCUUUCAAUGCAAAUCUCAGAAUAUUGCCUCUCUGAAGUAACAUAAACCGGAUAACUUUAUUUACAAACUCUUCCGUACUUCGAAAUGAUCUAUAAUCAAUAUUUAUUUCAGACAUUGAUCUCCAUUGGUAUCUCCAAGUCUUUGAUAAUAAGUUGGUGUUUAUGGCUUCUUCUAAUGGCAGCCGCACAAGAAUGUUAUCGAUAAUAUGAUUAGGUAGAUUGCUGAGUCUAUCCUUGUCUGAUUUCAUUUUCUUAGAUUAUUUUGAUAUCUCUUAAGGUUGUUCUUCAACAUAUGUAAUCAUCAACCGAAAUAAAAUGAAAAUAAGCAAACAUUCAAAAAGAUUAUUUGAAGACAAGUAGUAAAAUAAAAUGAAAUAAAAAUACCACUGCUUGAGUGAAGAAAUAUAAACAAUAACUUGAUGUUGAUCAGAUGAUGUUUUUGAAUUCCCUAGCAGAGUGGCAAAGAAAAGAAUUGAACAAUGAUAAUAAAGGGAGAGACAAAGAUAGGAAGGAAGAUGCUUUAAAAAAAAAGAAGAUAGG
rnacentral:lncRNA from 1 species